rnacentral:misc_RNA from 1 species
CUGUGCUUGCACCGCGGACUUUGCGUCAUUGUCGCGUUCGUGUCGCGAACGGUGGGGGCCAUCCCUGUACUUUCGGACUGCCACGUCUACUGCCAAGAAGAAACCUCAUGGAGGCCCCCGUGUCGUCUGCGAGCGCCCCAGCAGGGAAUGCUUCCUCGUCCGGAGGGGCCGGCCGGGGCGGGCGCGGUAUGUUUCGAGGUGGUCGCGGCACCAAUGACCGCCGCGGUCGCGGUCGCGGGUGGUCGCACGGCGGCCAGGACGCCUUCCGAGGGCAUGGCAGAGAUUGGGGCGAUGCUCGGGGUCGCGGCGACACUCGCGGGCGAGGCCGACGCAACGGGCCGCCUAAAGAUCGCGGCUUCAUGCCAAAGAAGUUCAUGCGCCACCGCUCUCUCUCGGGGAAGCACGGCUCUCACUCACCACUUCAUGCGGAACGGACGGCGAAGCGCGCGAAGAAAGAUAUGAAGCCCAACUCCAACUUUGCCCUCUUGCGCUCCACGCUGGGCGACGCGGAAACGAUCGCCGAGUACAUCCGCGAUUACCACGCAAGCAAAAAGUUCCGUGAAGUCAAGUCCGUCAACACUUUCCUGCAAGCCGUAAGCCAGCGGCCCAAAGCAGUCUACGUGGAGCUCAUGUCACAGUACAAGGACGAGGUUUUUACGACUCUCGAGCGCCUCUUUGCCUUGUACGCGCUUGGCAAAAGCCCCAUGAUCCCGCCAGCGCAUGAGUUUCUGAUCCGCUGCGAGCAAGAGGGUGUGCGCAAGUCGGCGUGGGGUGAGGGUGUUCGUACACUGCCCGUAAAGGCGGCGGAGGCAGAUGCCGCCAUCCCUGCGGAGGGCGAGGCGGAGGACUUGGCGCCGCCACCUCAGCCACCGGCGCCGGUGGCGCCUCCGCUGGACGCAGAGGCGGCAUCGCUUCUCUCACCUCGCGAGCUUCUCAAGAAACUAGCCUCCCUUGACGUUGUUGGUCGCCUUCAGCGGCUGAUCGAGAUGUCGACGUCCGUCGCAGAUAUUCAGGUGUGCGCCAAGAAACUGACAGCCUUGAUCACCGACGCGCAGGACGACGUUGAGAAGGACAGCGUGAUCCCCACGCCCUCCGCGGAGAAGUUCGACUAUGCAGCCAAGUGCCAGCUAAUCAGCAAGCUGCUGUCGAAGGCGCGUCGACUUGUAGAACCGACGUUUGCACCGCCGCCAAGGGCUGCAGCAAAAGGCGCCUCGGAUACCCACGUCGAGGAACCGGCCGAAGAGGCGACAGUGCGGAGUAGUGAGCAGGUGUUCGGCGGGGACGACGAGGAGGGGCUGCCACGGACAGCAGCCGAAGCCGCUUCCUCAGGCACUUCUGCCACCGCAGUGGACCAUGCAGCCCUCGCCGUCACUCAACGCCGCGUCCCUCUUACUGACGACGAGAUCGAGGGCUUUCAGGCGGCCAUCUCUGCGGCCUUUCAUGCGUUGGAGACGGUGCUGGAGCAGCGCCCGCCGAACGUCACGCAGCAGCCCCUCUCCAAGUUUUGCAAGGUGCUGGAGUGGUGCAAGGAGAAAGGCCUGCUGGCCGCUGCGGACGAGCGAUUCGCGACGCUGCUGGAGCAGCAGGCGGAGAAUGACAUUGCGGAGCAGGCGAACCAGAUCGAGACGGUGAUCAGCCUCAAGUCUCUGACACCCGGUGACACAGCCGCACUGCGCGAGGUGGUCGAUCAACUGUGGGAGGCCGGGGGCACGCUUUGCUUCUCGCCAUCAAGCAUGGAUGUGCUCUCUGCCAUUGCCGUUGCCGCGUCUGCCGAUGACAUCGAUGCUGAUGUGAAGCGGCUGAUUGCGGACCGUCUUGUGCAGACGCAGCGUCAUCUUGCGGACACGGUGGCGCUACCGCGCCGAGCACUGCGCUUCGUGAACGGCGAGCGCAACAAGGUGAAGCAGGCCGCCAUCGCAAAGCAGCUGCAGGUGGAGGCAAGCAAGUACAAGACAGAGGGCCACGAAUGAGAGCGAGAGGGAUUCCGGUGAUGUGGCGCGCGUGCGCGCCGCGGCGUUUGCGACCUUUCACACCCGCACAUAAACGCGCGCGUGUGUGUGUGUUGGGGGGGGAAUAGGCGGUGCGCGGGUCGAGCGCAUGCAUUUCCGUCUCUGUUUCUCGAUGGCUGCGUGUCGAGUGCAGCGCAGGUCUCCCUCUUUGCUUCUCUGGGUUUAACUCGGAUGAGCAGACGCGUAACAACCGAAAAGGAAAAAUAAAACUAACGGGCCGGAGCGCUUUCUUUGUUGUUCCCACUCGUUCGGGUUGGGUGUAGGCGUGUACGAGAACCUAGAGAGGCUAUGAGCCAACGU